rnacentral:miRNA from 1 species
CAGCAAGAUGAAGUCCAACGA